UUAGUGGCGAACGGGUGAGUAACACGUGAGUAACCUGCCCUUGACUUCGGGAUAACUCCGGGAAACCGGGGCUAAUACCGGAUAUGAGCUACCUUCGCAUGGGGGUGGUUGGAAAGUUUUUCGGUCAGGGAUGGGCUCGCGGCCUAUCAGCUUGUUGGUGGGGUGAUGGCCUACCAAGGCGACGACGGGUAGCCGGCCUGAGAGGGCGACCGGCCACACUGGGACUGAGACACGGCCCAGACUCCUACGGGAGGCAGCAGUGGGGAAUAUUGCACAAUGGGCGAAAGCCUGAUGCAGCGACGCCGCGUGAGGGAUGAAGGCCUUCGGGUUGUAAACCUCUUUCAGCAGGGAAGAAGCGCAAGUGACGGUACCUGCAGAAGAAGCGCCGGCUAACUACGUGCCAGCAGCCGCGGUAAUACGUAGGGCGCAAGCGUUGUCCGGAAUUAUUGGGCGUAAAGAGCUCGUAGGCGGUUUGUCGCGUCUGGUGUGAAAACUCGAGGCUCAACCUCGAGCUUGCAUCGGGUACGGGCAGACUAGAGUGCGGUAGGGGAGACUGGAAUUCCUGGUGUAGCGGUGGAAUGCGCAGAUAUCAGGAGGAACACCGAUGGCGAAGGCAGGUCUCUGGGCCGCAACUGACGCUG
rnacentral:rRNA from 2 species